AGUUGAUUGGUGUAGUGGUUUGAGUGCUGGAUUAUGACUCUGGAGACCAAAGUUCAAACCCCUGACUGGCCA